AGAGCGAACGCUGGCGGCAGGCUUAACACAUGCAAGUCGAACGGAAAGGCCCUUUCGGGGUGCUCGAGUGGCGAACGGGUGAGUAACACGUGGGUGAUCUGCCCUGCACUUUGGGAUAAGCCUGGGAAACUGGGUCUAAUACCGAAUACACCUUGCUGGCUGCAUGGCUGGUGGUGGAAAGGAUUCCGGCUAGGGAUGGGCUCGCGGCCUAUCAGCUUGUGGUGGGUAACGCCUACCAAGGCGACGACGGGUA
rnacentral:rRNA from 1 species